GAAACUCAGACCCUGGGAGUAGAGAGCCUGGCAGAAAAGGUGAAGACCUGGACCUGGGCACCUCGCUGAGCGACCCGGGCACCUCCCUGAGUGAUCUGGGCACCUCGCUGAGCUCAAUAGUUGAGAAGUUUGAUUGUAUGCAUAUGAUUGGCAGCAUCUUCUGGUGAACAUGGCUUCAGAG